rnacentral:rRNA from 1 species
AUUGAACGCUGGCGGCGUGCCUAACACAUGCAAGUCGAGCGAAGGAAUUGAGCUUGCUUCUGUAGGCAGGGGCGGUUGUGUGAGUGAUGCCUAGGAGUCUGCGUGAUGGUGGGGUAUAACGUCCGAUAACGGGCGAUAGUACCGCAUACGGCCUGGUGAUGCAGGAGGAGGGCCUUGUGACCUCACGCUCUGAGAGGAGCAUAGGUCGGAUUAGCGAGUGGGUGGCGUAAAGGCCGAAUGAGGCGACGAUCCGUAACUGCUCUGAGAGGAUGAUCAGUCACACUGGAACUGAGACACGGCCGAGACUCCUACGGGAGGCAGCAGUCGAGACUAUUGGACAAUGGGCGAAAGCCUAAUCCAGCCAUGCCGAGUGUGUGAAGAAGGUCUUCGGAUGGUAAAGCACUGUAAGUUGGGAGGAAGGAAAGUAAGUUAAGACCUUGCUGUUUUGACGUUACCAACAGAAUAAGCACCGGCUAACUUCGUG